AGUUAGUAGGUUAGAAGUUGGUUUUUUUUUUGCUUUUUUUUUUGCUUUUUUCAAGACAUUCUUUGGAGAACACUCAACCCACUUAUUACAAGCAUGGAUCCUUGAACCAAAACAUCUUCCAAAGGAAGGAAAGAAGGUCAAGUUUCCACACAAUACCAUGAAAGAGGGGAAACUUACAAUCUCACUAACUAGAAUGCUUAUGCCUUUUAUGUCACAAAUUUAGCGCUAUGUUAAGCAAUUGUAAUUGGAC
rnacentral:lncRNA from 1 species